rnacentral:rRNA from 1 species
GCUCCUCGGGUGACGAGUGGCGGACGGGUGAGUAGUGUCUGGGGAUCUGCCCGAUAGAGGGGGAUAACCACUGGAAACGGUGGCUAAUACCGCAUAACGUCGCAAGACCAAAGAGGGGGACCUUCGGGCCUCUCACUAUCGGAUGAACCCAGAUGGGAUUAGCUAGUAGGCGGGGUAACGGCCCACCUAGGCGACUAUCCCUAGCUGGUCUGAGAGGAUGACCAGCCACAGUGGAACUGAGACACGGCCCAGACUCCUACGGGAGGCAGCAGUGGGGAAUAUUGCACAGUGGGCGCAAGCCUGAUGCACCCGUGCCGCGUGUAUGAAGAAGGCCUUCGGGUUGUAAAGUACUUUCAGCGGGGAGGAAGGCAGUGAGGUUAAUAACCUUACUGAUUGACGUUACCCGCAAAAAAAGCACCGGCUAACUCCGUGCCAGCAGCCGCGGUAAUACGGAGGGUGCAAGCGUUAAUCGGAAUUACUGGGCGUAAAGCGCACGCAGGCGGUCUGUUAAGUCAGAUGUGAAAUCCCCGGGCUUAACCUGGGAACUGCAUUUGAAACUGGCAGGCUUGAGUCUCGUAGAGGGGGGUAGAAUUCCGGGUGUAGCGGUGAAAUGCGUAGAGAUCUGGAGGAAUACCGGUGGCAAAGGCGGCCCCCUGGACGAAGACUGACGCUCAUGUGCGAAAGCGUG